AGUGAACGCUGGCGGUAGGCCUAACACAUGCAAGUCGAACGGCAGCACAGUAAGAGCUUGCUCUUACGGGUGGCGAGUGGCGGACGGGUGCGGAAUACAUCGGAAUCUACUUUUUCGUGGGGGAUAACGUAGGGAAACUUACGCUAAUACAGCAUACGACCUACGGGUGAAAGCCGGGGAUCUUCGGACCUUGCGCGAUUGAAUGAGCCGAUGUCGGAUUAGCUAGUUGGCGGGGUAAAGGCCCACCAAGGCGACGAUCCGUAGCUGGUCUGAGAGGAUGAUCAGCCAGACUGGAACUGAGACACGGUCCAGACUCCUACGGGGGGCAGCAGUGGGGAAUAUUGGACAAUGGGCGAGAGCCUGAUCCAGCCAUACCGCGUGGGGGAAGAAGGCCUUAGGGUUGUAAAGCCCUUUUGUUGGGAAAGAAAAGCAGCAGGUUAAUACCUCGCUGUUCUGACGGUACCCAAAGAAUAAGCACCGGCUAACUUCGUG
rnacentral:rRNA from 1 species